UUCAUACUCCCUCCGUCCCAAAUUUUUUGUCUUAGGUUUGUUUAGAAAUGAAUGUAUCUAAAUACGAAAACUUGACAAGAUGCAUUUAUAUCUAGACUAAUUUAAGACAAGAAUUUUGGGACGGAGGGAGUAUUAG
rfam:Hordeum vulgare subsp. vulgare, WGS project CAJW01000000 data, contig: morex_contig_49314